UACGUAGGGGGGCAAGCGUUGUCCGGAUUUAUUGGGCGUAAAGAGCGUGUAGGCGGCCUUACAGGUCAGCUGUGAAAACUCGAGGCUCAACCUCGAGACGUCGGUUGAAACCGUAUGGCUAGAGUCCGGAAGAGGAGAGUGGAAUUCCCGGUGUAGCGGUGAAAUGCGCAGAUAUCGGGAAGAACGACCCGUGGCGAAGGCGGCUCUCUGGGACGGUACUGACGCUGAGACGCGAAAGCGUGGGGAGCGAACGAGG
rnacentral:rRNA from 1 species